rnacentral:rRNA from 2 species
UUAAGCGACUAAGCGUACACGGUGGAUGCCCUGGCAGUCAGAGGCGAUGAAGGGCGUGCUAAUCUGCGAUAAGCGCCGGUAAGGUGAUAUGAACCGUUAUAACCGGCGAUACCCGAAUGGGGAAACCCAGUGUGAUUCGUCACACUAUCAUUAACUGAAUCCAUAGGUUAAUGAGGCGAACCGGGGGAACUGAAACAUCUAAGUACCCCGAGGAAAAGAAAUCAACCGAGAUUCCCCCAGUAGCGGCGAGCGAACGGGGAGGAGCCCAGAGCCUGAAUCAGCAUGUGUGUUAGUGGAAGCGUCUGGAAAGGUGCGCGAUACAGGGUGACAGCCCCGUACACAAAAGCGCAUGUGCUGUGAGCUCGAUGAGUAGGGCGGGACACGUGGUAUCCUGUCUGAAUAUGGGGGGACCAUCCUCCAAGGCUAAAUACUCCUGACUGACCGAUAGUGAACCAGUACCGUGAGGGAAAGGCGAAAAGAACCCCGGCGAGGGGAGUGAAAAAGAACCUGAAACCGUGUACGUACAAGCAGUGGGAGCACAGGUUUACCUGUGUGACUGCGUACCUUUUGUAUAAUGGGUCAGCGACUUAUAUUCUGUAGCAAGGUUAACCGUAUAGGGGAGCCGUAGGGAAACCGAGUCUUAACCGGGCGUUAAGUUGCAGGGUAUAGACCCGAAACCCGGUGAUCUAGCCAUGGGCAGGUUGAAGGUUGGGUAACACUAACUGGAGGACCGAACCGACUAAUGUUGAAAAAUUAGCGGAUGACCUGUGGCUGGGGGUGAAAGGCCAAUCAAACCGGGAGAUAGCUGGUUCUCCCCGAAAGCUAUUUAGGUAGCGCCUCGUGAAUUCAUCUCCGGGGGUAGAGCACUGUUUCGGCUAGGGGGCCAUCCCGGCUUACCAACCCGAUGCAAACUGCGAAUACCGGAGAAUGUUAUCACGGGAGACACACGGCGGGUGCUAACGUCCGUCGUGAAGAGGGAAACAACCCAGACCGCCAGCUAAGGUCCCAAAGUCAUGGUUAAGUGGGAAACGAUGUGGGAAGGCCCAGACAGCCAGGAUGUUGGCUUAGAAGCAGCCAUCAUUUAAAGAAAGCGUAAUAGCUCACUGGUCGAGUCGGCCUGCGCGGAAGAUGUAACGGGGCUAAACCAUGCACCGAAGCUGCGGCAGCGAACGUAUCACCCAAGACAACUUUACGGAGUUGACGAUUGACGGAGCGAAGCGACGUCAAAGCGUUCAUUAAAGUCGAGUUGGCUUAGGGAUACGUUCGUUGGGUAGGGGAGCGUUCUGUAAGCCUGUGAAGGUGUGUCGUGAGGCAUGCUGGAGGUAUCAGAAGUGCGAAUGCUGACAUAAGUAACGAUAAAGCGGGUGAAAAGCCCGCUCGCCGGAAGACCAAGGGUUCCUGUCCAACGUUAAUCGGGGCAGGGUGAGUCGACCCCUAAGGCGAGGCCGAAAGGCGUAGUCGAUGGGAAACGGGUUAAUAUUCCCGUACUUGGUGUUACUGCGAAGGGGGGACGGAGAAGGCUAUGUUGGCCGGGCGACGGUUGUCCCGGUUUAAGCGUGUAGGUGUGUGUUCCAGGUAAAUCCGGUUCACUUUAACACUGAGGCGUGACGACGAGGCACUACGGUGCUGAAGCAACAAAUGCCCUGCUUCCAGGAAAAGCCUCUAAGCAUCAGGUAACAUCAAAUCGUACCCCAAACCGACACAGGUGGUCAGGUAGAGAAUACCAAGGCGCUUGAGAGAACUCGGGUGAAGGAACUAGGCAAAAUGGUGCCGUAACUUCGGGAGAAGGCACGCUGACACGUAGGUGAAGUGAUUUACUCAUGGAGCUGAAGUCAGUCGAAGAUACCAGCUGGCUGCAACUGUUUAUUAAAAACACAGCACUGUGCAAACACGAAAGUGGACGUAUACGGUGUGACGCCUGCCCGGUGCCGGAAGGUUAAUUGAUGGGGUCAGCGCAAGCGAAGCUCCUGAUCGAAGCCCCGGUAAACGGCGGCCGUAACUAUAACGGUCCUAAGGUAGCGAAAUUCCUUGUCGGGUAAGUUCCGACCUGCACGAAUGGCGUAAUGAUGGCCAGGCUGUCUCCACCCGAGACUCAGUGAAAUUGAACUCGCUGUGAAGAUGCAGUGUACCCGCGGCAAGACGGAAAGACCCCGUGAACCUUUACUAUAGCUUGACACUGAACAUUGAGCCUUGAUGUGUAGGAUAGGUGGGAGGCUUUGAAGUGUGGACGCCAGUCUGCAUGGAGCCGACCUUGAAAUACCACCCUUUAAUGUUUGAUGUUCUAACGUGGACCCGUAAUCCGGGUUGCGGACAGUGUCUGGUGGGUAGUUUGACUGGGGCGGUCUCCUCCUAAAGAGUAACGGAGGAGCACGAAGGUUGGCUAAUCCUGGUCGGACAUCAGGAGGUUAGUGCAAUGGCAUAAGCCAGCUUGACUGCGAGCGUGACGGCGCGAGCAGGUGCGAAAGCAGGUCAUAGUGAUCCGGUGGUUCUGAAUGGAAGGGCCAUCGCUCAACGGAUAAAAGGUACUCCGGGGAUAACAGGCUGAUACCGCCCAAGAGUUCAUAUCGACGGCGGUGUUUGGCACCUCGAUGUCGGCUCAUCACAUCCUGGGGCUGAAGUAGGUCCCAAGGGUAUGGCUGUUCGCCAUUUAAAGUGGUACGCGAGCUGGGUUUAGAACGUCGUGAGACAGUUCGGUCCCUAUCUGCCGUGGGCGCUGGAGAACUGAGGGGGGCUGCUCCUAGUACGAGAGGACCGGAGUGGACGCAUCACUGGUGUUCGGGUUGUCAUGCCAAUGGCACUGCCCGGUAGCUAAAUGCGGAAGAGAUAAGUGCUGAAAGCAUCUAAGCACGAAACUUGCCCCGAGAUGAGUUCUCCCUGAGACUUAGAGUCUCCUGAAGGAACGUUGAAGACGACGACGUUGAUAGGCCGGGUGUGUAAGCGCAGCGAUGCGUUGAGCUAACCGGUACUAAUGAACCGUGAGGCUUAACCUU